GAUGAACGCUGGCGGCGUGCCUAACACAUGCAAGUCGAGCGAUUCUCUUCGGAGAAGAGCGGCGGACGGGUGAGUAACGCGUGGGUAACCUGCCCUGUACACACGGAUAACAUACCGAAAGGUAUGCUAAUACGAGAUGAUAUAUAAAAGUUGCAUGACUUUUAUAUCAAAGCUUUUGCGGUACAGGAUGGACCCGCGUCUGAUUAGCUAGUUGGUAAGGUAACGGCUUACCAAGGCGACGAUCAGUAGCCGACCUGAGAGGGUGAUCGGCCACACUGGAACUGAGACACGGUCCAGACUCCUACGGGAGGCAGCAGUGGGGAAUAUUGCACAAUGGGCGAAAGCCUGAUGCAGCAACGCCGCGUGAGCGAUGAAGGCCUUCGGGUCGUAAAGCUCUGUCCUCAAGGAAGAUAAUGACGGUACUUGAGGAGGAAGCCCCGGCUAACUACGUGCCAGCAGCCGCGGUAAUACGUAGGGGGCUAGCGUUAUCCGGAAUUACUGGGCGUAAAGGGUGCGUAGGCGGUCUUUCAAGCCAGAAGUGAAAGGCUACGGCUCAACCGUAGUAAGCUUUUGGAACUGUAGGACUUGAGUGCAGGAGAGGAGAGCGGAAUUCCUAGUGUAGCGGUGAAAUGCGUAGAUAUUAGGAGGAACACCAGUAGCGAAGGCGGCUCUCUGGACUGUAACUGACGCUGAGGCACGAAAGCGUGGAGAGCAAACAGGAUUAGAUACCCUGGUAGUCCACGCCGUAAACGAUGAGUACUAGGUGUCGGGGGUUACCCCCCUCGGUGCCGCAGCUAACGCAUUAAGUACUCCGCCUGGGAAGUACGCUCGCAAGAGUGAAACUCAAAGGAAUUGACGGGGACCCGCACAAGUAGCGGAGCAUGUGGUUUAAUUCGAAGCAACGCGAAGAACCUUACCUAAGCUUGACAUCCCAUUGACCUCUCCCUAAUCGGAGAUUUCCCUUCGGGGACAGUGGUGACAGGUGGUGCAUGGUUGUCGUCAGCUCGUGUCGUGAGAUGUUGGGUUAAGUCCCGUAACGAGCGCAACCCUUGCCUUUAGUUGCCAGCAUUAAGUUGGGCACUCUAGAGGGACUGCCGAGGAUAACUCGGAGGAAGGUGGGGAUGACGUCAAAUCAUCAUGCCCCUUAUGCUUAGGGCUACACACGUGCUACAAUGGGUGGUACAGAGGGUUGCCAAACCGUGAGGUGGAGCUAAUCCCUUAAAGCCAUUCUCAGUUCGGAUUGUAGGCUGAAACUCGCCUACAUGAAGCUGGAGUUACUAGUAAUCGCAGAUCAGAAUGCUGCGGUGAAUGCGUUCCCGGGUCU
rnacentral:rRNA from 1 species